AGUCAAUUUCUGCCCAUUGAAAAAAAUUUAAAAGGCUGCGGUAUUUUAACUGUACAAAGGUAGCAAAAUAAAUAGUUUUUUAAUUGAAAACUUGAAUGAAAGAGUUAAUAAAAUAUAAAUUGUCUCAAAUUAAUUAAAAUGAAUUUAAAUUAAAAGUAAAAAUACUUUUAUAAUUUUAUUAGACGAUAAGACCCUAAGAAUUUGAUUAUUUAAAUUUUUAUUUAAUUUUUAUAAUAAAUAAAUAAAAAUAUUAAAUUAUUUUAUUGGGAGGAUAAAUAAAUUUUUAAACUUUAAUUUUUAUUAAAUAUUUUUAGAUAAAAUUUUUAAUGAUUAUUAUUAAGAUUAUAAGAAUAAAUUACCUUAGGGAUAACAGCGUAAUAAUUUUGGAGAGUUCAUAUUGAUAGAAUUGUUUACGACCUCGAUGUUGAAUUAAAAUAAAAAUUAAAUGGAGAUAUUUAAAAUUUUAGUCUGUUCGACUAUUAAAAUUUUAC
rnacentral:rRNA from 1 species